UUGUAUUAUUAAUGGUGCCCUUUAAUUACCAUGAGUCAACAUUUAGCAACUAAUCCUGUCGGUAGGAUUAUCUAUUUAAUAAGAACUUCACUUGUAUUUUUAGUGUGUACACCUCACACCUUAUUAUAGAAGGGUGUUGAUUAUUAUAGAUUUAUAUUUGAAUAUGUAGGCUCAUACAAGUAAGUUGGUUUAAUAUUGAUAUUUAUUAUGGAACUAUGGAACUAACGAUAUUAUACACUACUUAUCUCAGGUUGUGUGUUUUAUUUUUGAUAUUUGAUUACAUACUAUCUUUUAAAUAUAUCCUUUAUUAUCUUCUUAUUGGAUUUGCCAUAUAGGAAAGAUGUUGUGGGUCUUAAUUUGAUAUUGGUUACUGUAUUGAUAUUUGUCACGGAUCUCUUGAAUACUUUGUAAUAAUUUAUAUCUUUAUGCCCUAGACAAUAUGAUUCUGGAAUUAGUUUGGAAUUUUGAUGUGUGUAUGGAUUUCUUCUUCUGAACUAGUCUGCCAAUACUCUGUUAAUUCUAGAUAGUGAAUACGUGGGUUCGAAAUUCAGCAACUGAUCACUGCUAUCCGAUUUCGUAACCUAUGUCUUCAUGGCAGAGUACGCAGACGUCUAUUCGUCAUCACCUCCUUGUGUAAUUAGUCUAAUUAUUCCAGUUACAUGUUUACCAUUUGAUAGGGAAGUAUUUAGUUUAUAUUAUGUCUCGUACUUCAUAGUAUGUUUUGUUGUUGACUAUCCCUAUACACAGUAGUUCGUUAAUUUGGUGUUUGGGGUGUUUAGACAAAUGAUUAAUUUUUUUAGUAUCUUCCCACUUCUUUCCUUAGGCAUCAGUUGUUGUUUAGAUUCAGGAAUAUUUCCUGGAUAAUUCUAUGUAUGCGGGAACCCAUGAAUCUACAGUUUUAUUUAAAAUUGGUUGCACGUUCUCAACAUAUUUUUUUUUCUUUCUAUCAUGUAUCAUGGUGUCAUAGAACUUGUAAGUUCUCUAUUUAGAUUUUAUUAUUACAAUUGGUUCUUUACCUAUGUUUGGUUAUUCUAAUACCCCUGUUGUAGCAAGAUGCCAUAAUUAGUGUGAAUACCAGCAUGAACCAAUUUUAGUUCAUUUAGUAUUAGUGAGAAUUGGUCCAAAAAUCUUUCUGAUCGUUCUUCUUUGGAUAUGCUCUUAUAAAUCUGGUGUCCAUUGAUAGUCCGAUUUUGGAUUAAGUGUCCGAUUCUUCACUUAUUUUGUUUAUUCGGUUGGAUAGGUUCGUGUUACCGGAUGUGGGUGUACGUAGACCUAAUUUAUUUCUAUGAUUUAGUAUUGGUGUGAAUUGGUCAAUAAAUCUUCCUGGUCGUUCUUCUUUGGAUAUGCUUUUAUGAAUCUGGUGUCCACUGAUAGUCCGACUUUGGAUGUCUUUGAGUGCCCGGUUCCACAUUUAUUUUGGUUAAUGAGUUUGGAUACCUUUGGUAUGUUUAUUAUUUGUAUUAUUUGAUAUUGGUGAGAAUCGUUCCAUAAAUCUUCCUGAUUGUCCUUCUCUGGAUAUGCUAGUACGAAUCUGGUGUCCAUUGUUAGUUCAGUUUUGGAUUAAGUGUUCGAUUCUUCACUUAUUUUAGUUAUUGAUUUCUUUGGUCUUACUUUAGUAUAUUUACUUGCGUUAUUGUACGAAUAGGCUCACACCUUUGCCUGGUUGUUCGUCCUUGGAUAUACACUUUAUAAAGCUGAUGUCCCUGGAUAGUUCAAUUUUGGAUUUAGGGCCCAUUCGACAUUUAUUUGUCAUUAUGAACUUUAGUAAAUUAUUUAGUUUAUCUUUGGCUUUUAGACAAAAUGCCGAGGAUAUCUUAAUAUCACUUCGAGUCAUCUGUGGCGGUUAAUGAUAUCUGCUGCAGUGACCAUCCUGCUUUCUCCUGAGGCAUGGUUUGUAGUUAUUUGUAAUCUUGCGAAUCGACGAGAAAUAAUACACUACUACUACUUUAGUUUAAUAUUUAGAGAUAUAAAAAAAAAAAAAAAUUUGAUUAAAUUUUUUUUUUCUCCCAGUAGGAGGAGAAUGUGACGUUCCGUCACUUAUCUAAUUAAUUAUUAAUGGGAACACCUUAUUGGAUUAUUGUUAAAAUUAUUUUCUUAUAAUAUUAAAAACCCGUUCGCACAAAAUUCCCUUAGCGACGUCAUACUGGGUGUAUCGUGGCCACAUUGAUAUUUCGUGAGGUUGGUACUGACGCCUGUCGCCAGCUGUCACGAGGUCGGAACGGUGAAGGGAGGCCAUGGACUUGGGAGUGUCAUGUGAGUGCAGAUGGCGGCGUGAAUUUCUUUGUAAAUUAAAUAAGUUAUUUCCUGUUGCAUAGUUCAAUUAUUGCUAUUGCAAGUUAUAUUUGUUUUUUUGGGUGAAUUAAAGUGACGGAAUAAUGGAACUGUAAGAAAACGGAUCUCACGCCGCCAUUCUGGAGAAAUCUCAUUACUGAUGGUAAACCCUCUCUAACACCGAGAGCAGACACUUCCAACGUUCGAUCAAUCAGGGAACAAGCCAAAGGAUACCGUCUCCCAUUUGUUUUUGUAUUGAUUCAUCAUCCUGCACCCUCCGAGGGUAGUUUCAUUAGCUAUUGGGCAGUUGCACCACUUCGGUGAUAACUUCGUUCCACGGAUUUGGUACCAGACACCAAGGAUCGUUGUUGGAACAUGUGAAAAGGGGUUUGUUUUGGGGGACAUUUGUUCAUACCAGUUAAAGACAUAUUUUUUUUUCUAGUAAUAUUCAGGACAUUUCAUACUUUCAUAAUUUAAUUACACAUAUAUGUUUUUCUUUCUCCACAAAUUUAAGUACAUUUUAGAUAUAACAGCCAUACCUUACAGUUAGUAGUGUUCCCCAAAUUUAUAUAAUUCCUGGUAGAAGUUUCGAGCUCGAAUAUUCUCCACCUACAUGUUCUUUUCACUUGGUUUGUAUUAAUUUUAGACUUGUUUCCUCAUUUAAUUUAAAAAUAAUAUUAGUUCAAUUCACCUAAAUUUAAAAUCAUUUAACUUGCUUCAUAAUUUUCAAUUUUUAUUAAAUUUUUUGGUAAAUAUUAUUUAACUUUCGCUAUUAAACUUUUUAUAUUAAAUUCGAAUAAAUCCCUAGUACCCAUCCCCUCAGGAAGGUACUAGUUUUACUUGCUGUUAGUAUUUAGAACCACUAGUCAGAAAAGGAUCUUUGUAUCCAGUACUAAGUUGGUUCAUUUAGGGACUUGUUACCCGUCAACUCAUUGAGAGUUGUAUAAUAUAUAUUAUAUACAUUAGGUAUUUUCAUUGUUCUAAUAUCAGGUAGUAUUCAAUUAGGGUGUACGUAUUACAAUCGUACAAGUGUUAUUUGGUGAAGGGUUCAUACUAAUCUAGGUGUAGUUGGUACUUCCUAUAUUAGAGGUACUCAUUUGUAAAAUUUUCUAACCUCAUUCACAUUAUGGUUACAUUAUUUAAUUGUAUAAAUCUGUAAAUGACUUUCACUAGUAUCUACCAUUUCUUGUCAUUUUAGAGUCACAUACUAGUCACUUGUUUUAACUCAGAGAUUGUGAAUAUCUAGUAGUUAUAUUUAAUAAAUAUAUACAUUUAUUGUGAA